CUGUGGUGGAUUCGUCUGAUAACUAUUUCUGAUCGCAUGGUCUAGCACCGGCGACAUCACUUUCAAGUGUCUGCCUUAUCAACCUUCGAUGGUAGUCUAUGCGACUACCAUGGUGAUAACGGGUAACGGAGAAUCAGGGUUCGACUCCGGAGAGGGAGCCUGAGAAACGGCUACCACAUCCAAGGAAGGCAGCAGGCGCGCAAAUUACCCACUCCCAGCUUGGGGAGGUAGUGACGAAAAAUAACGAGACGAUUCUCGUUUGAGAAACGUUAUCGAAAUGAGUACGCUUUACACACGCUAACGAGUAGCAAUUGGAGGGCAAGUCUGGUGCCAGCAGCCGCGGUAAUUCCAGCUCCAAUAGCGUAUAUUAAAGUUGCUGCGGUUAAAACGCUCGUAGUUGAAUUGUGGUCUUAGACAACAGUCCCCCUACAAAGGUGUGGCACGGUUGCUCGAGAUCUUCAUUCGUGGUUGCUGUUGUUGCUCUUCAUUGAGUGUCAAUGGUGCCUCGAGAUUUUACUUUGAAAAAAUUAGAGUGCUCAAAGCAGGUUGUGAUGCCUGAAUAAUGGUGCAUGGAAUAAUAGAAUACGAUCUCGGUUCUAUUUUGUUGGUUUUCGAACCGGAGAUAAUGAUUGAAAGGAACAGACGGGGGCAUUCGUAUUGCUGCGUUAGAGGUGAAAUUCUUGGAUCGCAGCAAGAUGAACAAUUGCGAAAGCAUUUGCCAAGAAUGUUUUCAUUAAUCAAGAACGAAAGUUAGAGGUUCGAAGGCGAUCAGAUACCGCCCUAGUUCUAACGGUAAACUAUGCCCAACCAGCGAUUCGCCGAGUCAUUUUAGACUCGGCGAGCAGCUUCGGGAAACAAGUGUUUCGGGUUCCGGGGGGGAA
rnacentral:ncRNA from 1 species